rnacentral:rRNA from 1 species
CCUACGGGCGGCAGCAGUGAGGAAUAUUGGUCAAUGGACGGAAGUCUGAACCAGCCAUGCCGCGUGCAGGAAGACGGCUCUAUGAGUUUUAAACUGCUUUUGUACAAGGGUAAACCUGAAUACGUGUAUUCAGCUGAAAGUACUGUACGAAUAAGGAUCGGCUAACUCCGUGCCAGCAGCCGCGGUAAUACGGAGGAGCCAAGCGUUAUCAGGAUUUAUGGGGUUUAAAGGGUGCGUAGGCGGAUUGGUAAGUUAGAGGUGAAAUGUCCGAGCUUAACUCGGGAACUGCCUCUAAUACUGUUGAUCUAGAGAGUAGAUGAGGUAGGCGGAAUGUAUGGUGUAGCGGUGAAAUGCUUAGAGAUCAUACAGAACACCGAUUGCGAAGGCAGCUUACCAAUCUAUGUCUGACGUUGAGGCACGAAAGCGUGGGGAGCAAACAGGAUUAGAUACCCCUGUAGUC